rnacentral:rRNA from 1 species
UGGGGAAUAUUGCACAAUGGGCGCAAGCCUGAUGCAGCCAUGCCGCGUGUAUGAAGAAGGCCUUCGGGUUGUAAAGUACUUUCAGCGGGGAGGAAGGGAGUAAAGUUAAUACCUUUGCUCAUUGACGUUACCCGCAGAAGAAGCACCGGCUAACUCCGUGCCAGCAGCCGCGGUAAUACGGAGGGUGCAAGCGUUAAUCGGAAUUACUGGGCGUAAAGCGCACGCAGGCGGUUUGUUAAGUCAGAUGUGAAAUCCCCGGGCUUAACCUGGGAACUGCAUCUGAUACUGGCAAGCUUGAGUCUCGUAGAGGGGGGUAGAAUUCCAGGUGUAGCGGUGAAAUGCGUAGAGAUCUGGAGGAAUACCGGUGGCGAAGGCGGCCCCCUGGACGAAGACUGACGCUCAGGUGCGAAAGCGUGGGGAGCAAACAGG